CAACUCUCAACAACGGAUAUCUUGGCUCCCGUAACGAUGAAGAACGCAGCGAAAUGCGAUACGUAGUGUGAAUUGCAGAAUUCCGUGAACCAUCGAAUCUUUGAACGCAAAUUGCGCUCGAGGCCUCGGCCAAGAGCAUGUCUGCCUCAGCGUCGGCUACUACCCUCAA
rnacentral:rRNA from 3 species